rnacentral:rRNA from 1 species
AUGAACGCUGGCGGCGUGCCUAAUACAUGCAAGUCGAGCGAACGGACGAGAAGCUUGCUUCUCUGAUGUUAGCGGCGGACGGGUGAGUAACACGUGGAUAACCUACCUAUAAGCCUGGGAUAACUUCGGGAAACCGGAGCUAAUACCGGAUGAUAUUUUGAACCGCAUGGUUCAAAAGUGAAAGACGGUCUUGCUGUCACUUAUAGAUGGAUCCGCGCUGCAUUAGCUAGUUGGUAAGGUAACGGCUUACCAAGGCAACGAUGCAUAGCCGACCUGAGAGGGUGAUCGGCCACACUGGAACUGAGACACGGUCCAGACUCCUACGGGAGGCAGCAGUAGGGAAUCUUCCGCAAUGGGCGAAAGCCUGACGGAGCAACGCCGCGUGAGUGAUGAAGGUCUUCGGAUCGUAAAACUCUGUUAUUAGGGAAGAACAUAUGUGUAAGUAACUGUGCACAUCUUGACGGUACCUAAUCAGAAAGCCACGGCUAACUACGUG